rnacentral:rRNA from 1 species
UACGUAGGGCGCGAGCGUUGUCCGGAAUUAUUGGGCGUAAAGAGCUCGUAGGCGGUUUGUCGCGUCGGUUGUGAAAACCCAAGGCUCAACCUUGGGCCUGCAAUCGAUACGGGCUGGCUAGAGUACGGCAGGGGAGACUGGAAUUCCUGGUGUAGCGGUGGAAUGCGCAGAUAUCAGGAGGAACACCGGUGGCGAAGGCGGGUCUCUGGGCCGAUACUGACGCUGAGGAGCGAAAGCGUGGGGAGCGAACAGG